CAGAAGCCAAUAAGGCUGACCAGUUUCCUUCCCUUAUGUAGGCCUGGUGUGCAAACGGCAGCCUUCUUGGUGUGUAUGUGGCCUGUCACUUAUACGGGUUGCCCUAAGGGACCUUGCAGACAGUU
rnacentral:snoRNA from 1 species